UGGCGGACGGGUGAGUAAUGUCUGGGAAACCGCCUGAUGGAGGGGGAUAACUACUGGAAACGGUAGCUAAUACCGCAUAACGUCGCAAGACCAAAGAGGGGGACCUUCGGGCCUCUUGCCAUCGGAUGUGCCCAGAUGGGAUUAGCUAGUAGGUGGGGUAACGGCUCACCUAGGCGACGAUCCCUAGCUGGUCUGAGAGGAUGACCAGCCACACUGGAACUGAGACACGGUCCAG
rnacentral:rRNA from 1 species